UACGUAGGCAGCAAGCGUUGUUCGGAGUUACUGGGCGUAAAGAGUGCGUAGGCGGUCCGGCAAGUUCGGUGUGAAAUCUCCCGGCUUAACUGGGAGGGUGCGCCGAAGACUGUUGGGCUGGAGUGUGGGAGAGGCAGGCGGAAUUCCUGGUGUAGCGGUGAAAUGCGUAGAUAUCAGGAGGAACACCGGUGGUGUAGGCGGCCUGCUGGACCAUAACUGGCGCUGAGGCACGAAAGCGUGGGGAGCAAACAGG
rnacentral:rRNA from 1 species